AGAUGCCAGGGUCAAAAGGUCUAAGCCCAUAUGAGCUUGCUCAUAGGUGGGUGAAAGACCUUAGGGCCCGCCCCGAUAUGAGCAUAAAAGUGGGAUGAUAAUCCCACGAUAUGCGAAUAUUGGGUAGGAUUGUGGGAGUGCGUAGCACGGAGCAAUCCGUAGGCAUCA
rnacentral:sRNA from 21 species